UACGUAGGGAGCAAGCGUUGUCCGGAAUCAUUGGGCGUAAAGCGCGCGUAGGUGGCCUCAUAAGUCCGCUGUGAAAGUCAAAGGCUCAACCUUUGAAAGCCGGUGGAUACUGUGAGGCUAGAGUACGGAAGAGGCGAGUGGAAUUCCUGGUGUAGCGGUGGAAUGCGCAGAUAUCAGGAGGAACACCGGUGGCGAAGGCGGCUCUCUGGACCACAACUGACGCUGAGGCGCGAAAGCUAGGGGAGCAAACAGG
rnacentral:rRNA from 1 species